AGCCAGCCUUCCGUCAGACUGACUUUCACAAAGUGUCGGAUGACACACUUGAAAAGCGAUCCCUUGGACGCAUCUACGUACCACCAAUACCCUAAGUCGAAUGAACUCACCGCCAAAUGACUCAAGGUCCAAGAGCGUUCGUCGCAUCCGGGUUCCUUCUCCGAUUGCGGGGUGAGCGAGGUCAAGGCCAUGGAACUUCGCGGGCCAAAACUCACCCCGGAGGAUCGGCUUCGAGCUCGAGAUCGGAGGUUAGUGUUAUUGGAGUAAGGCGCCACGACGGAGGUGCUAAUCGAAUCCGACCCCGAGGAUCUCUGACGUGCUCGGGGCAGGGGUUGGCCUGGCGAGUACGGAGAGCUCGCUCUGGAUGGAAGAGGAUACAUCGGAUGGUGAGGAAAGAUCGGUGUCAGUUAGACUUGAACUUGAGUACCUGGUCGUCGCCAUUGUAACGCCAAGGCAAAAGAUAAAGAAACGAGGGACGAUUCUUCCGGCUGAAUAUUUGGAGUCAAGGCCGUGAGAAUGGUCAAAAGAGUUUGCAAGGUAGGUGAAAAAUGUUCGCACGACAUUUCGCCACAAAUGUCCGACUUCCGUCAAAGCCCGGAUAUCCAACCAAUUCGGGAGCUCCACGGGAGCUUCAAGACACCGACUGACUUGGUUGAUGUCGACCAGCUACUAAUGUCCAGUCCUGCCUGACAAGCAGGAUUCAUGAAUCCAAUACCAAUAACAUGGGAUUUCCACAUUCUCGUCCUCACCUCAACCUUGUUCUGCUUGAGAGGAAAAGGAGCCGACGCCUACUUGGGGCCCUUGGACACGGUUGGCGAUCCUUUGUUUGAUUAGCUUGAAUGGUUUUCCAAAAACAUCACAUUUGUUCAUACAGUAGACAUAGAAUGAGUGUACAUACGCCCGAACGCACGGGAAACCAACUCUUACCGUAUGCACUAGAAGGAGCAAUCCAAAGAGGAUCUUCUGUCUGAUGGUUUGCAUUGUGGAAUCAAGUUUGGGACGGGACAAAUAACGGAAUUCCCAAUGCUUCAAAAGGGGGUUGGAGAAUUCUGAAUAUUGGUUCCCACAAAAACUCCAGCUGUUGUUGCCUUGUUGCUUCACCAACAGACACCCACACUCACUGUGUGAAGAACCCCCACUCAAAAUGAGCCCCAAAGUGAAUGGAGUCUUCAAUUACGACAGGCCAGGCCGUUGCUCUUAGCUUUUUACAAGAGUAGAGGCAACACCUGUUGACACUUUUGGACACUACUGACAAACUUAUGAUUAUUAAUCAGAAUUUUCAAAAGCAAAACACUUCACUUCACUUAAUCCGUCUCCAACAAUGAUAAUGUCCAAGCCCAGGCUGUAAAGAAUCAACCAGAAUAUCAUUUACAUCCCUGUUUUGUGGACAGAUGUGAGCAACGACGUUCCGAUGUGAGUCACUAGUUCAAGGCCUAAGACAGUUAAAACAAGAUUCAACAAUUAUGUUAUAUAGAAAUACUUCACAGGGUCAACAUAAGCUGCAGCUUACCCAAAAACUCACAGGGACUAAGGAUCAAGCACUUCCUGUCCGGAACUUGGCUCAGAACUGAGGGAAUUUCUGUCCAGGUGGGUUUGAUACUCAUCCACCUUGCCAGGCAAGUUACCGCACACUCUUUUUGCUCACGUCCGUUCUUCAGUGGACUUAGGUUGCUCGUGUCUGUACCUCACUUUAAUCUCGCACACUCUCGCGCCAAACUCGCCCAUUGAAAUCUCCAUCCAAGUUCACCAAUGGAGGGAUCCGAAUCAAGUGUUCAACCCAUGAAUGCGGUCGUUUACCUAAACGAAAAAGACAUCCCUCUGGAGGAAUGUUUUGUCUUCUGAAGGAACGCUUCUAUCAUCUAGAGGAGGGAUUAUUUGUAUGAUUGUUUCCGCUUGGCGUUCGCUUUAAUCUUACUUGUAUUUUCUAAUCUUACUUAUAUUUUCUUUCCCAUACUCCAUGUAUUCAUUGCAAGAUGAUUUGAGUGGAAUAAACAAUAAGCAAUGCCCAGCAAAGUAAAAUGCCCAAGCAGGAGGCAUUUUUCUCAAUCCUCCUCAACAUAACUUAGGAAAAUGAAACAAACAAUAAG